GGGUUGCUAGCUCAAUGGUAGAGCAACUGGCUCUUAACCAGUAGGUUCAGGGUUCGAGCCCCUGGCAACCCA
rnacentral:tRNA from 2 species